GUUUGAUCAUGGCUCAGAUCGAAACGCUGGGCGGCAGGCCUAACACAUGCAAGUCGAGCGGUAGAGAGAAGCUUGCUUCUCUUGAGAGCGGCGGACGGGUGAGUAAUGCCUAGGAAUCUGCCUGGUAGUGGGGGAUAACGUUCGGAAACGGACGCUAAUACCGCAUACGUCCUACGGGAGAAAGCAGGGGACCUUCGGGCCUUGCGCUAUCAGAUGAGCCUAGGUCGGAUUAGCUAGUUGGUGGGGUAAUGGCUCACCAAGGCGACGAUCCGUAACUGGUCUGAGAGGAUGAUCAGUCACACUGGAACUGAGACACGGUCCAGACUCCUACGGGGGGCAGCAGUGGGGAAUAUUGGACAAUGGGCGAAAGCCUGAUCCAGCCAUGCCGCGUGUGUGAAGAAGGUCUUCGGAUUGUAAAGCACUUUAAGUUGGGAGGAAGGGUUGUAGAUUAAUACUCUGCAAUUUUGACGUUACCGACAGAAUAAGCACCGGCUAACUCUGUGCCAGCAGCCGCGGUAAUACAGAGGGUGCAAGCGUUAAUCGGAAUUACUGGGCGUAAAGCGCGCGUAGGUGGUUUGUUAAGUUGGAUGUGAAAUCCCCGGGCUCAACCUGGGAACUGCAUUCAAAACUGACUGACUAGAGUAUGGUAGAGGGUGGUGGAAUUUCCCUGUGUAGCGGUGAAAUGCGUAGAUAUAGGAAGGAACACCCCAGUGGCGAAGGCGACCCCCUGGACUAAUA
rnacentral:rRNA from 1 species